UACGGAGGAUGCGGGCGUUAUCCGGAUUUAUUGGGUUUAAAGGGUGCGCAGGCGGCACGGCAAGCCGGCGGUCAAAUCGCGGGGCUCAACCCCGCCCAGCCGUCGGAACUGCCGGGCUAGAGUGGGCGAGAAGUGCGCGGAAUGCGUGGUGUAGCGGUGAAAUGCAUAGAUAUCACGCAGAACUCCGAUUGCGAAGGCAGCGCACCGGCGCCCUACUGACGCUCAGGCACGAAAGCGUGGGUAUCGAACAGG
rnacentral:rRNA from 1 species